GAUUGCGCUUCCCUCCCUGCAGAUCAAACGCCUCCAAGAUUGCUCCUGCCACUGCGAGGAAAAAAAUUGCUUUCUUAGGGGCAUUUUAGGGGCUGCUACUAAAACAGCAUUCAGCAUUUUGCAUCGUGCACAUAAUCUAGAACAAAAUAGUGGAACAUAAAACAAAUUCAGUGGGCAUUAAUAUUAGUGCCUACAGAGGAACAAACGACACAAGACAAUUUAGUAUCUGAUAAACCGUGCAUUGCUGAGGGCAUACAACUACUAUUUAGAUUAAAUAUAAAGAUCUGCAUUUUUCAAAGCUAGCUGAAAUCAACAAAUAUCAUCUGUAAUCUCGAGAGAAACAGGAGCUAUCUCAGCACGACAACAUUAUACAUAGCAGUAAGAGGAGACAGCAGUACAACACACUGUAAACUAAGCACAUCUGAGCCAGGUUGCCAGUAAACAUACCUCAGUACCUCAUCAAGACAAACAAAAUUGAGCUAGGAUGUCAAAACAAGUCCCCCAUCCCCACAAACACCCACAAAAUUCUGGCAGUCUGGCUCUGCUCUUCAACAAAUUCCUUAGCUGCUUGCUAGGAUGUCAAGCUUGAACCUAAAGAGACAAUGUUAGAAAAACUUAAAAAAAAAAAGACUU
rnacentral:lncRNA from 1 species